rnacentral:tRNA from 1 species
GCGGAAGUAGCUCAGUGGUAGAGCAUCGCCUUGCCAAGGCGAGGGUCGCGGGUUCAAAUCCCGUCUUCCGCU